UACGUAGGGGGCAAGCGUUGUCCGGAAUUAUUGGGCGUAAAGAGCGUGUAGGCGGUCCGGUAAGUCAGCUGUGAAAGUCAAGGGCUCAACCCUUGAAAGCCGGUUGAUACUGUCGGGCUAGAGUCCGGAAGAGGAGAGUGGAAUUCCUGGUGUAGCGGUGAAAUGCGCAGAUAUCAGGAAGAACACCUAUGGCGAAGGCAGCUCUCUGGGACGGUACUGACGCUGAGGCGCGAAAGCGUGGGAG
rnacentral:rRNA from 1 species